rnacentral:rRNA from 1 species
GACGUAGGGCGCGAGCGUUUGUCCGGAUUUAUUGGGCGUAAAGAGCUCGUAGGCGGCUUGUCGCGUCGACUGUGAAAUCCCGCGGCUCAACUGCGGGUCUGCAGUCGAUACGGGCAGGCUAGAGUUCGGUAGGGGAGACUGGAAUUCCUGGUGUAGCGGUGGAAUGCGCAGAUAUCAGGAGGAACACCGAUGGCGAAGGCAGGUCUCUGGGCCGUAACUGACGCUGAGGAGCGAAAGCAUGGGGAGCGAACAGG